rnacentral:rRNA from 1 species
CAUGUGGUUUAAUUCGAUGAUACGCGAGGAACCUUACCUGGGCUCAAAUGUAUGUUGACGUAUUCUGAAAGGGAUACUUCUUCGGACAAUAUACAAGGUGCUGCAUGGUUGUCGUCAGCUCGUGCCGUGAGGUGUCGGGUUAAGUCCCAUAACGAGCGCAACCCCUAUCAUUAGUUGCCAUCAGGUCAAGCUGGGGACUCUAAUGAAACUGCCUACGCAAGUAGUGAGGAAGGUGGGGAUGACGUCAAAUCAGCACGGCCCUUACGUCCAGGGCUGCACACGUGCUACAAUGGCCGAUACAGAGGGCAGCUACCUGGUGACAGGAUGCAAAUCUCCAAAGUCGGUCUCAGUUCGGAUCGGAGUCUGCAACCCGACUCCGUGAAGUUGGAUUCGCUAGUAAUCGCGCAUCAGCCAUGGCGCGGUGAAUACGUUCCCGGGCCUU